AGCUAAUAGAUACCCAGGUAGUCCACGCCCUAAACGAUGUCUACUAGUUGUUGGUGGAGUAAAAUCCAUGAGUAAACGCAGCUAACGCGUGAAGUAGACCGCCUGGGGAGUACGGUCGCAAGAUUAAAACUCAAAGGAAUUGACAGGGGCCCGCACAAGCGGUGGAUUAUGUGGAUUAAUUCGAUGCAACGCGAAAACCUUACCUGGCCUUGACAUGCCACUAACGAAGCAGAGAUGCAUUAGGUGCCCGUAAGGGAAAGUGGACACAGGUGCUGCAUGGCUGUCGUCAGCUCGUGUCGUGAGAUGUUGGGUUUAAGUCCCGCAACGAGCGCAACCCUUGCCAUUAAUUGCCAUCAUUUAGUUGGGCACUUUAAUGGGACUGCCGGUGACAAACCGGAGGAAGGUGGGGAUGACGUCAAGUCCUCAUGGCCCUUAUGGCCAGGGCUUCACACGUAAUACAAUGGUCGGUACAGAGAGUUGCCAACCCGCGAGGGGUAGCUAAUCUCAGAAAGCCGAUCGUAGUCCGGAUUGUUCU
rnacentral:rRNA from 1 species